GAUGUCGAGACGGUGUUGUUGCUGAUGAGAAAUCUCUCUAUCAACCUUACGAGCCCUGAUUUUGAGCAUCAUAGGCAGCUUCUUUCAUCGUAUGAUAUAGAAAUGGAGAAGCAGUGCAAAUAAAAUCAAUGAUAACCUAGUUUAAAGUGAUGCUCAGUUCGGGUAUUGUGUACAAUACUCUUUGCACACUGUUCCUAUUAUCCUUUGCUCGAGAGUAUUAUUGUCCCGGUGAAAGCCAUAUCCGAACUGCUUGGGAACAAACGCGGUGAUCACAGGAUGCACAUGUAAUAAUACCAGAAGCCUGUGGUUUGUUUGAUAGCAGCUGCUAUGUCAGAUUCAGAGUUCUUUUUGCUUGUGGAGUUCAUAUUUGUGUACAUACUGUAAGAUAUGAAGAGAGAUAAUAGUUGUUAUGCAGGAACUUAAAUAUAUAAAGCUGGGUUUAUGUAAAUUCAAGUUUUGACAGACUCCAGCCUCUGCAGUGUUGGUAAUUUUUUCAUGGCAAAUGCAAAUGCUUCAACAAAUGAAGAUCGUUGAUUUUCACUGGUUUUUGCUUCCCUUGCCUACUGUUGGACUUCUAAACCGGUGGAUUUUCGCUUCCGUUGCUGCUUCCUUCCACGUGUGCAAGUUUUCCCUGCCGUCUGUGAACUAAAAGUUCCGUAAGCAUUGGAAAACUGUGAAGGCUUUUU
rnacentral:misc_RNA from 1 species